rnacentral:rRNA from 1 species
UUCGCAAUGCCCGAAAGGGUGACGAAGCGACGCCGCGUGCGGGAAGAAGGCCUUCGGGUUGUAAACCGCUGUCGGGAGUUAAGAAAUGUAAGGAUGUUAAUAGCAUCUUUGCUUGACUAAGGCUCCGGAGGAAGCCACGGCUAACUCUGUGCCAGCAGCCGCGGUAAUACAGAGGCGGCAAGCGUUGUUCGGAAUUAUUGGGCGUAAAGAGCACGUAGGCGGCUAUGUAAGUCGGUUGUGAAAGCCUUCCGCUCAACGGGAGAACAGCACCCGAUACUGCAUGGCUUGAGUGCGGGAGGGGAGAGUGGAACUUCUGGUGGAGCGGUGAAAUGCGUAGAUAUCAGAAGGAACGCCGGCGGCGAAAGCGGCUCUCUGGCCCAUAACUGACGCUGAGUGUGCGAAAGCUAGGGGAGCAAACGGGAUUAGAUACCCCGGUAGUCCUAGCCGUAAACGAUGGGCACUAAGUAGAGGGGUUUUA